rnacentral:rRNA from 1 species
UACGAGGGGGGGCAAGCGUUGUUCGGAAUUAUUGGGCGAAAGGGCGCGUAGGCGGUUUGACAAGUCUGAUGUGAAAUCUAUGGGCUCAACCCAUAGCCUGCAUUAGAAACUGUCGGGCUUGAGUAUGGGAGAGGUGAGUGGAAUUUCCGGUGUAGCGGUGAAAUGCGUAGAUAUCGGAAGGAACACCUGUGGCGAAAAGCGGCUCACUGGACCAUAACUGACGCUGAGGCGCGAAAGCUAGGGGAGCAAACAGG